UACGAAGGGGGCUAGCGUUGUUCGGAUUUACUGGGCGUAAAGGGCGUGUAGGCGGCCCGUUAAGACAGGUGUGAAAUUCCUGGGCUCAACCCAGGACGUGCGCCUGUGACUGGCGGGCUUGAGUCCGGGAGAGGAUGGUGGAACUCCCAGUGUAGAGGUGAAAUUCGUAGAUAUUGGGAAGAACACCCGUGGCGAAGGCGGCCAUCUGGACCGGUACUGACGCUAAGGCGCGAACAGCGUGGGGAGCAAACAGGG
rnacentral:rRNA from 1 species